rnacentral:lncRNA from 11 species
GUUUUUUCAUCAAUCUUCAUAUGCUCUUAGCAACUUUUAUUUGUAAUCUAUGUACCUUAGUAUUAUUUUUUAUACUCUAACCCAUGUUACUAUAUCUCUUAGGUAUGCAGUAAUGAAGCCACAUGCAUGUGUGACAACACUUGGGCAGGCACGGAUUGUAGCAUGUUUGACCCAAGAAAGAAAGAAGAGGCAGAGAAACCUAGGGGACAAAAGGAAAUGUCAAGAAGAGAAGAUAUGAUCCAAAUAAUUCAGGUAUCUAAGGAAGCCAUUGGAAGAGCUUUUCGGUACAUCACUGGAUUUGGGAUAUGGUGGCUUUUUGUAGCAGCUGUGCGGAAAAUAUAUCACUGCAGCGGAAAAUUGAAGCAAAUCAUUUGCUACAAACUGCAAAUUGGGUUAUUUAUGAAAGGGCUGAAGGAAAGCUAUCCUUUUUGGAGAUUCAAGUUCAAGAACUCGCUCCAUUCGUUUCCCUUUUUUUUUUGUUUUAGGAUGUUAGGGACAAGACAGAUGUUAUAAAUGAACUAUUUUGACCUAACUUUUCUUUUUUAAAAAAUAAAACAAACCAACCUAAGAACGGAAUGAACAAAUCAAGUGCAAUAAGAGAACUGUUUCAAAACAUUCAAAUAGGUAAAGAAUUUCUUAACUGAUAACUUGCGUUCGCAUGACCUUUUAAUAUUAAUGACAGACUGCAGUGGCAUGAUAAGCUAACUUUUGAAACGGUAAACUGCAUGGCAUAUACACAGCAAACAAGCUAACCAGCUGACCCCAAGCAAAAUCUUCAUACCAAGGAAACAGUAAAAACCAAAUGUGACAUAGGAAAAUUGAUUCUGGGUUCUUAAGAAAUCACAUUCCACCACUGCGACACAUAUUGUUCUUUGCGCGCUGUAAUGCUUUUUCUAAAAUAUGUAUUUGUCAUUCUUGGUUUCCUUUUUGGACAAACUUCUUUGGAGUGUGGCAAGCUGUGCCAUGAUGUAUGUUUUUCAGUUUGAAAUUAAGACAUUGUUGUCAUUACUCUCAGAUUCUUUCCAAAUUACUCUGGUGUAACAUUUUAUUUAAAGGUUUUGUUCUGUAUGCAAUUAUAUCUCCUUCAAGUUUUUCUUUCUAUUUAACCAUUUAAAAAAAUAGCAUGGUGUAUAGUGGAGGUUUUGGGCUUGCUCUAAAGAGGCAUUCCGCAUGCAGACACAGGAAAUUCCAAUAGAAAGCAGACAUGCUUCUAAAAUUUGUAUGCUUGAAACCAAAAAAACAAAAACCCCAAACCCAACAACUCCUAAUCCUUCCAAGACUUAUCCAUAUGUGUAAAUGCAUAUGUAUGCAAUGAGUUUUCCUCUUUCCAGAUGCAUUAUUUGCUGUCAUGCAGAUAUUUUGUAUAUAUUGUAAGAAGUUGACACCUUCUCAAAUUAAUCACAAAAGUGCCAAGCUUUUAACUUUUUAUUUUUACCAUCUGUUUUCCUUUCUCUAAACAUUGUACGAAAGGAAAAAAAGCCUAAAUAAGCCUUAAUACUCAUAAAUGCUGAGAGCUUUUAAUAGGUUAAGGCUUUCCCAUGUAUUAUUUUAUAGUCCCCAGCACCCCCCCCCUCACCCCACCUCCCAGAUUCACCUUUCUGAUCAGUUUGUAAAAUAAUCUAAAUACUUUUUCCUUUCUGAAUUUAUUUUAUAUCAUAUUGAUCUUUUAAAGCACAGCCUCGAAUGUUACUUCCUAAACUACUUGUGGUUACUAUCACAGCUCAGUCUAUUUAACAAAACAAAGGAGAAUAUGAUCAUUUACCCAGUAGCACUUCUUCAUGCUUAAACAUGAGAGUGGAUUUAAAUACCCAUUUCUUUCUCUUUGCCCCUCUUAAACCUCUGAGCCAAGAUAAAUUUGGCCAUCUUUAUCUAGAAUAAAUGUGAAAAGCAACAAUUGUGAUAUUAGCAUAUUACAGUGAGUGGGAUGACAAACAAAGUGUGCCUGUAUGGGUACACAUCUGCAGAGUAGUUGUGUAUGGCAUUUCUGCUGAAGUCUAAUUCAACAUCCCACUGGUAGCUCCAAAAACUGUACUUAGAGGUUUUCCGUCCCUGGUAGGAAAUGGUGUCAGCGGCAAGUCAUUCUGCAUUAAGCCUAUCAUGAUUUUCAACUUCCAGCCACAUCGUGUCUCAGCCUGAUCUCAUGCAACUGACCCAUAUGGCAGAGCUUUCUUCCUCUCCUCCAGCCUUCUGUCCUUAAAAAGCCUCAAACCAACUCCAGUGGUUCCCAGCCCUCUGGAGUAGAUUGGGAGGUCGCUCGAAAAGCCAUUCUUUUAGCAGGAAUACCCCUUGGAUCCUAGCCUGGAUGGUGUCCCUGUUUUUACAUUUAACUGUAGAGUAAAACAGAAUCAAUUCUUUAAAAUAUCUUCCUCAAGUUAUCUUCUCAGUUGUGUAUUCUCAGUUGGAGCCAUUCCCAUUACAAAAGCGGUGUAAUACUUUGAGGGCAAGGCACAGCUAUCUAGCUGAUGGCAGUUCUCACAUAAUCCUCUUCAUUGCUAAAUAGUCACUACAUUAUGCGUAAAUAAUGACAUGGGAAAUAGAAUCAAAAUGCUCUGAUACAUCUAGAUCUGAUUUUGAAGGUAAUGUAUUUUACUUCCUUUCUCCACCAAAAAAACAUUGUAUCUGAGACUCUAAAAAUAAUAUAUAUGCUUUUGAUAAAUUCCUUUUCAAAAUGUCUUCCUACAUGAUAUUGGCUUGUAGAACUAUUUUGCUGAAAGCAACUUCACAUUUCAAUAUAUUUGGGAAAAUUAUAUCUGAAUAGGUGCUAAGGCCUCCUUUUAUGUUAUGUUCUGGGAGUGAUGUGGUAACCACAGUAGGUAAUGCCAUUGAAUAUGGUUACAAAAAAUCAAAUUGUUGUAUUUUGAAAAGAAAAAAAUCUUGACAUUAUUCACAAAACAUUGUAAAUGUGCGAUGUGAUAUUUUAAUUAGACCACACUGGUCCCCAAUUAUGUACAUAUGAUAAGGGUUGGUGUAACUUUUUGUUACACUAGAGGUUUCAUAAGAAAUAUAAUUUCUUGUCUAAAUUUCUCCUCUGCUGUUCUGUUAUGUGUAUGUGUGUUUAAAACACACAGACUUGUAUAGAAUGUAAAUGACCACGCAACCACAUAGUUCACGGGAAUGGAUUAUAACAUUUUCUGUGGUACUACAGUUAAUGUACCCUGUUAAAGCCAAUAUUUAUUUUUUAAGUCUUCAUUUACCACAUUUUGUAGAGAACACAUGCUUCUUAUUUUCUUUUAACCACAAUCAAUGUCAUGUUAAUGGUGUUUAACAAAAUAAAUGUUAUGUUUCCAUUUCAGUCACUUUAGUUUUAUUUCAUUGAAAAGAAUUCAUCUUGACAGAAAAAUGUAUGGAAAUUUUAUAUAGCUUACGUUGAUAUGCUGCAUGAUCCCACUGAAUUGAGCAAAUUCUUUACUAAUGGGAAAUCUCCACUACGCAGGUUAACAAAAAUAUAUCCUAGGUGCAUGUUAAAAUAAAUUACAUAGAAUUGAAGUUUUACAAAGUUUUCUUUACUAUGCAAUUAUAGGUAUUGCACAAACUAAAAAAAUUCAAAGACAAAUGUCUGAGGAACUUUACAAAAUAAUACUUGAAUUUAUUUUUGAUGUAAGAAGCUAUCAAUCAUUUUCUAUUCAUUGUUGCUUUCACUCUUAAUCUUCCUUUAAAAUUAUUUGUAAUUAUUUUUGAAGUGCACAAUAUGACAAAUUCACUUUUGUUUACAGUUGAUACUCAUUCAUUUCUUGUUGGCUGCUGAUGGAUGAAAAUUCAGUUGUCGUUCUGCAUCUUAGUAAAUGAGUAUUAAAAACUUCAUGAACAUGGAAAGUUACAACUGGUAUAUUUAUCUUUUUUUUUCUUUUCCUUACAUUGACAUUAGAUUACAUUUCUGUAUUCUACGCCUAACCAGAAAAUAAUAAAAUUGGCCACUGUUCAUCAGAACUCUGGAGGUAAACAUGAUUCAGAUUUACUCAUGUGAGUGCUGUCCGAUGUCUCUCCCAUUAGUACAGCUAUAGCGUUAAAUAGGUUUAUAUGUAUCGAGAGAAAAAAUCAAAUAUGAGUUAGCAUAUAUGUGUUGUGUUGAAGGGUCACUUUAUUAUGUCAAAGAAUAAUAGUGUAUUUCCCUUGUAGAUCAACUAUUUACAUUUUGUAUGUUGGGAUAACACUUGGAGUGGAUUCCCAUAUCUGUGAAGAAAUAUCGGUAAAUAUACAGCCAAGCACCUACAAAGGAAUUGUAAUGUGUAUUUUAAGUUUUUUAAAGGACCUAGACAGAUUGGAGCAGAUUUAGAGGAAGGCAGCAAGGAUAGUAAGAGGUGUGGAGAACAUAACAUAUGUGGAAAGGUUGAACAAAAUGGGCAUGUUCAGCAUGGUGAGGAGAAGACUGAGAGGUGACAAUAGUAAUAUCACUUUAAGGACUGUCAUAGAAUGGAGGAGCAGCCAUGUUCUCUGUGGCCCCAGAGAAUAGGACCAAGUCCAAUUAUUUUAAGUCA